rnacentral:rRNA from 1 species
CUUGCUUUCUCCGCCGGCGACCGGCGCACGGGUGAGUAACACGUAUGCAACCUGCCCCUGUCAGGGGGACAACCCGCCGAAAGGCGGGCUAAACCCGCGUACAUGCCACCGGGGCAUCCCGGAGGCAGGAAAGGCUUCGGCCGGACAGGGAUGGGCAUGCGGCGCAUUAGGCAGUAGGCGGGGUAACGGCCCACCUAACCGACGAUGCGUAGGGGUUCUGAGAGGAAGGUCCCCCACACUGGUACUGGGACACGGACCAGACUCCUACGGGAGGCAGCAG